rnacentral:lncRNA from 1 species
GGCGUUGAUACUCUGCCUUGACUUACUGACAUACCAAACACUUGGAAAUAAAGUCGGUCACAUCUCUUUUCGUCCAGUUCCACCAAAAUCAGGAUUGCAUACUUUGAUAUAUCUUAGUGCUUUCAGGAUGCAUGACAAGCUUUGAGCUAUCGGCCUCGGUCAUGAUGUCCCUUUCCAGCUCACCAUCACAUGGAACACACGCACUAUCUUGAAAUCUAUGCAACCCAAUUGCCUCUACUUAAAAUUUUGAAUUCACUCCUUGUUCUGCAUCUUUCUUGAGGGCUACU